rnacentral:rRNA from 1 species
ACGAACGCUGGCGGCGUGCUUAACACAUGCCAGUCGAACGAAGCUUGAUUACGGAUUCUUCGGAUGAAGUAUGAUAUGACUGAGUGGCGGACGGGUGAGUAACGCGUGAGUAACCUGCCCUUCAGAGGGGGGUAGCGUUUGGAAACGAACGGUAAUACCGCAUAAUGUAUUUUGACCGCAUGAUCGAAAUACCAAAGAUUUAUCGCUGAAGGAUGGACUCGCGUCUGAUUAGGUAGUUGGUGGGGUAACGGCCUACCAAGCCGACGAUCAGUAGCCGGACUGAGAGGUUGAUCGGCCACAUUGGGACUGAGACACGGCCCAGACUCCUACGGGAGGCAGCAGUGGGGAAUAUUGCACAAUGGGCGCAAGCCUGAUGCAGCAACGCCGCGUGAAGGAAGACGGUUUUCGGAUUGUAAACUUCUGUUCUUAGUGAAGAAUAAUGACGGUAGCUAAGGAGCAAGCCACGGCUAACUACGUG